AGGAGGGAGGAAGGCUGCCGUCUCCACGCCGCUGCCCUUAGCUCACACCAUGGACCUCCACGUGGCCGAGGACAGACGGCCCCACACCUGCUACACCCAGGAAGCUUGGCUACAAUUUCAACCACGUGGUUGGCCUCUUGCUGUGGGAGGAAAGCCACAUCACAGCUACGUCGACAAUCAGCUCCUUCUACUGGCCCUGUUUCUCUCGGGAACCCUGACUGAUAUAACCACUGUAUGAGGUCAUUUUCGCAUCACUAGAAAGGAAUACCUGAGGCUGGGUGAUUUCUAGAGAAAAGUGGUUUAUUUGGUUCGUGGUUCUGGAGGCUGUUUGAGAAGCAUGAUGCCAGCAUCUGUUCAGCUUCUGGGGAGGCCUCAGGAAGCUUUCAACUGUGGGAGAAGGUGAAGGGGGAGCAGGCAUGUCACUCGGCAAGAGAGGCAGGGGAGAGGCACACAUACUUGUAAACAGCCGAUCUCCGGUGAACUGAGAGCCCACUCAUCACCAAGGGGAUAGCACUCAACCGUCCAUGAGGAAUCGCCCCAUGAUCCAACACCUCCUGCCAGGCCCCAUCUCCGACCCUGGGGAUCACAUCUCAAUACGAGAUUCGGGCAGCACAAACGCCCAAGCUGUGCCAGCCACUCGCCAUGCUGCUUUGACAGAGGACUUGCAUCAGGCUCAGCCCCCUGGAGCCACUCAACCAAGGUCGUCGUCGUUCUGGAGCUCAGACAACCAAACUCAGUCUCACCAGGCUAAAGUCAAGGUAUUGUUGGCAGCACUGGCUCCUUCUGGAGGCUUCAAGGGAAAACCGGUUUCCUGGUUUCCUCCAGCUUCUAAGAGACUGCUUCCCCCUAUUCCGUGGUUCCUGGUCUCUUCCUCCUUCCUCAUGAGGUAGGAGGUAGGACUGACUCCAAAGAUGAGACUCAGACACCAAACCAGACUGAAGACUAGCUAAAACAGGGCCUGGGGAAAAGCAGCUUUCAAUCAGACACGACGACCAGUGUGCUAGCUUAAUUUACUGUUGCUAUGGCAACAACCCGGAGUUACCGCCCCUUUCCUUGGCAAUGACUCAAUGAUUACUACCGCUUCUCUAGCAAUUUCUGCAUAAGCCACCCCUUAAUCUGCAUGCAAUUAAAGGUGGGUAUAAACGUGGCUGCAGACCUGCCCUGAGCUGCUGCUCUCAGCCUCCAGGGUAGGCCUGCUCU